rnacentral:rRNA from 1 species
CUAAGAAUAUUCCGCAAUGGACGGAAGUCUGACGGAGCGACGCCGCGUGGAUGACGAAGGCCGAAAGGUUGUAAAGUUCUUUUGCUGGGGAAGAAUAACCGCAGGAGGGAAUGCCUGUGGGAUGACAAGAACCGGCGAAUAAGCCCCGGCCAACUACGUGCCAGCAGCCGCGGUAACACGUAGGGGGCGAGCGUUGUUCGGAAUUACUGGGCGUAAAGGGCAUGUAGGCGGCUUGGAAAGCCUGGCGUGAAAGUCUGCAGCUUAACUGCAGGGGUGCGCUGGGAACUGCUGAGCUUGAGUGACGGAGAGGGAGCUGGAAUUCCUGGUGUAGGGGUGAAAUCUGUAGAUAUCAGGAAGAACACCGAUGGCGAAGGCAAGCUCCUGGCCGAUGACUGACGCUGAGGUGCGAAAAGUGUGGGGAUCAAAACAGGAUUAGAUACCCUGGUAGUCCACACAGUCAACGAUGUGCACUAGGUGCUGGGGCGGUAGCUUCGGUGCCGGAGCGAAACGUGGUAAGUGCACCGCCUGGGGAGUAUGCUCGCAA